UAGCAAAUAAUUCACUUUAUUUAUUCUUGAUCCAACAAAUGUAUUUUUUUUAGCUGUAAUAUUGGUGUGCAGGUGCCAUCCCGAGUCUGAGCUGUCAGAAGGGGCCAGCGCUACACUGAACUAGAACUGCUUUCAGCAACUCUAAACCAGAGUCCAGGGGAUUACCACUAAAGCUAAAGGAGGGUGUUUUGCCAUCUGACUGCCAAGCUAGAAAUCUCCUCAUGUGUCACUUCCCUUAAUGACAAGGUGAAUAACCCUUGCUUGUUUCCACUAUCUUUUCUGCAGAAAAAAGCAAUGUGUGUACAGCAUGUCAAUGCCUGGAGGUUCUCAUAGUAACCUGACCUGUCAACAUGGCAGAGCUUACAGGGACAAUAUACACCCCUUUUCAAUCGAAUGAAUAGGGCUUGUGCUAAACACACUUUUUGCCUAAUGUUUUAAUUAAGAAAUAUGGUUUCUGUUACUACUAGUAAUACUUUAGUACUUCCUGUCACAUUCUGCUCCCCCAGAACACCAGAAAAGCUGAUAAAACUAAUCACCAGUCCAAUGGGAAGUCCAGAUAAUAAGCUGUUCAAAGGCUGCUGCUUAGAUAAGGGGAAGUUUGUUUCUUUAAAUGUAGGUAGGGAGCUCUGAACAUAUUGCCCUGUUUCUUACAGUAGGGGGAUGUGAGUUCAGUGAACAUAACUCAACUUUGAAAUAAGUGUUUUAUGUUUUUUUAAUUAAAAUAGGCAUAAUGUAAUUUUAACACA